GAUGCACAUUCUGCGUGGAAAAAGGUUUUGGUUUGCGAUGGUGCUUUUUCUCAUUCUUUUUGGAUCAUUUAUGCUUGAAUGAGUAAUUUGUCAUUUUUAACUCAACCAAGAUGCCAAGCAAAAGCAUAGGUUGUAGUAUUGGGUGUUGUGGCUAGUGUAACGGCAUAAUAUGGUGCAGCCAUUGAUUUUUUUUUCCUUUAUUUAAAAAAAAAAACUGAAAUAAAUAUUCAAAUAAGAAUUUGACUAAUAUGCAAUGUAUUGUUACUUUCAACGUCAAAAAUAAUUAUUUAUUGGAGAAAUUGUAUGUUUAUAAUUUGUAAUUGAUGUACUAGUUUAUUAAAUACAAAUUCAAGUAAUAACAACUCAAAUACUUGUGGCAAGCAUACACAUACAACCUUUGUUUGUUUCCAAAUAGGCUAGUGGCACAAAUGAAAGCUAUAAGGGUGACCUUUUGUUGUUAGCCUUUAAAAAAAGAAAAUAAGGGAAGAAGAAGAA
rnacentral:misc_RNA from 1 species